CGAAACUUGUCUUCUCCGAGAAGAGAAGAGAAAAAAAGCCAUUCGAAUACAGCAGAGAAGCAAAGAGCGAGCAUUUCUGCUUCUAUCAAACUGUACGAAGCCUCUCAAAGCAACAGCAGCAGAAGAAGAAGAAUCUGAAGAAAUGGACGAUUACACUAGAGAAAUGAUGGACCUCAAAACCCUCGUUACACGAACCCUAGAGAAGAAAGGCGUUCUCGCCAAGAUCCGAGCUGAGCUUAGAGCAAGCGUUUUUGAGGCGAUAGAAGAGGAGGAUAGGACCAUUGAAAAGGACGAAGGCUUGCCUCCUGCACUAUUGGGUAGCUGCAAUGAGCGUGCGAAGCAACUCCAUAAUUCCCCUUCAGGAAGGCUGCUAACUGCA
rnacentral:misc_RNA from 1 species